CCUACGGGAGGCAGCAGUGGGGAAUAUUGCACAAUGGGGGAAACCCUGAUGCAGCGACGCCGCGUGAGUGAAGAAGUAUUUCGGUAUGUAAAGCUCUAUCAGCAGGGGAGAAAAUGACGGUACCUGAUUCAGAAGCCCCGGCUAACUACGUGCCAGCAGCCGCGGUAAUACGUAGGGGGCAAGCGUUAUCCGGAUUUACUGGGUGUAAAGGGAGCGUAGACGGCAGCACAAGUCUGGAGUGAAAUGCCGGGGCUUAACCCCGGAAGUGCUUUGGAAACUGUGCAGCUAGAGUGCAGGAGAGGUAAGUGGAAUUCCUAGUGUAGCGGUGAAAUGCGUAGAUAUUAGGAGGAACACCAGUGGCGAAGGCGGCUUACUGGACUGUAACUGACGUUGAGGCUCGAAAGCGUGGGGAGCAAACAGGAUUAGAUACCCGAGUAGUC
rnacentral:rRNA from 1 species